rnacentral:rRNA from 1 species
CCUACGGGGUGCUGCAGUGGGGAAUAUUGGACAAUGGGCGAAAGCCUGAUCCAGCCAUGCCGCGUGUGUGAAGAAGGCCUUCGGGUUGUAAAGCACUUUCAGUGGGGAAGAAAGCCUUGGGGCUAAUACCCUCGAGGAAGGACAUCACCCACAGAAGAAGCACCGGCUAACUCCGUGCCAGCAGCCGCGGUAAUACGGAGGGUGCGAGCGUUAAUCGGAAUUACUGGGCGUAAAGCGCGCGUAGGCGGUCUGAUAAGCCGGUUGUGAAAGCCCCGGGCUCAACCUGGGAACGGCAUCCGGAACUGUCAGGCUAGAGUGCAGGAGAGGAAGGUAGAAUUCCCGGUGUAGCGGUGAAAUGCGUAGAGAUCGGGAGGAACACCAGUGGCGAAGGCGGCCUUCUGGACUGACACUGACGCUGAGGUGCGAAAGCGUGGGUAGCAAACAGGAUUAGAUACCCGAGUAGUC